rnacentral:lncRNA from 1 species
UUGUAUGAGACGUUAAGGCUAUUCCCCCCAUUACCAACAUUUGGUAGAACGAAUAAACAAGAAGUGAAAUUGGGAGGGCUAAAUCUACCAGCUGGAGUGAUACUCAUAGUACCUACAAUCUUAGUACAUUAUGAUAAGGAAAUAUGGGGUGAAGACGCAAAGGAAUUCAAACCAGAAAGAUUUAGUGAAGGAGUGUCAAAAGCAACCAAAGGACAAUUCUCGUUUAAUCCCAUUUGGAGGGGGGCCUCGAAUUUGCAUUGCACAAAACUUUGCGAUGAUGGAAGCAAAAUGGCAAUAGCAAUGAUACUACAAAGGUUCUCCUUUGAACUCUCUCCAUCAUAUACACAUGCUCCAUUUGCAGUAGUGACUAUUCAUCCUCAGUAUGGUGCUCCUCUGCUUAUGCGCAAACUCUAAUAUGAUAUUUUACACCAUUGGUGUUGUAUGUUGACAUUAUCAAAAUUUAUUGGUCAACUAUUCAUAGGUCUUCUCUGAUGAGCCUCAUUUGGCCUCUUGGUGGAGCAGAAGUUUCUUCUUAAAGUUGUGUAGAACAUAUAUAUAUAUAUUUCUAUUGCACGUCUAUGUUCAUUUUGGUUUGUCCAUAUGUAAGAAUCAACCAAAAUAAACUACUGCUAUGUUUCUAAAGUGUUCUGUACUUUCUUAUUUUCUUUGGCCUGUAUAUACUUACCUCUUCAUUUGUGUCUUAACCUCUAUAUACCAUGAAACAUACUUGAUAGUUUGAGACAUAAAUAGACAUCUUAAUCUGGCGUCAGUUGAAAUUUAACACUCCCAAGUUUGACGAUGCAUAUCUAGAUACCAUCAAAAUUUAUGUGUCACGUUAGCGUCGAAUGUCCACUAGACACACAGGUAAUGAGUUGAGGUGUCUAGAUGUACAUUUUCAAAAUUAAAGUAUUUCAAGAUAGUUGUUUAUCUAUGUAGUAUGCCACGUUAAGUUCUUUUUAUUUUCUUUGGGCCAUAACCUUAUUAUUCAAUUUGGGUCUCUAAACUAGUACUAACAUAUUUUGAUGGAAUCAAGAGAGGUCACAAAUCACAAUCACACAACUACUUUUGUUUUGUUUUUAUAAGUAAACGAGCCAUUUAAACAAUAUAUUUAUCUUUUUAACUAAAUAGUAUAUAUUACGUAGAUGCCCUAUCUUUAGUUUAGUAUUUUCAGAUCAUUAGUACACAAGUUGUAUAUAAAAUAUAUUGAAAAAGGUUGAAAAAUAACAAAGAUAGGAUGGAAACUAGGACAAAUGAAAUAAUAAAAUAAAGACAUAAUUGGGAUAAUGUAAGGCAGGGUUUGUCCUAUUGGUUGGACAGGACCAGAGACAGGACAGAAUUAUGAAAAAAAAAUACUUACUAAACAGGCAUAACAGGAGGGGUAAAAAUUUUUCAUUAAUUUCUCAUCGACGUUCGAUAUUUAUAUUAGAGCUUCAAUUAAUAUACAUCCAUAUUGCAAUCUAUGUCAAACUUUGAGAUCUCAAAUUAAAGACAGAGAAUUCUUAUUUAUCCAUUAAAUUCUUGAUAACGAUGAAUGGGCUAAAACCUGAGCAGAUUAAGAUUUUAUUUGGACAUGAUUUAAAAUCAGAUUGAAUUGAAAUUUUGAUUUCAUUAGUUGUAUGUUUUUCUUAAUAGAAAAUCCCACAAAUUAUGAAAACUAUAUAUAUAAAAAAAAUAAAACAAAUCAAUUCUUAUGCAAUCUUAUAGAAUGAGCCAUGAAGAGCUUACUUUCAUUCUCUGUGUUCUCAGAGAAAUUUGCUUGAUUCUGCUCGUCCUUUUGCUUAGUCCAACAAUAUGUUUCAGUAUGACCAGACUUCUUGCAAUACUGGCACUGAAAGUCACUCUUGGGAUGUCGAGUGUCAAUUGAAUUGACUUCUGCCUCUACCGCGGCCUCGACCUCGGCCACGAAAUCUGCCUCUUUCUCUACCUCUACCUCUGUCAGACGACUCCUCUUUCACCUGGAAUGCUUUUUCUUCAAUUUUCUCAUGAGACUUGUUUAUCCCAUCUUCAUGAGUUAAUAAAGAACCCAUUAAUUCAUCAAAUGAAUAAUCAGAUAAAUCCUUGGAUUCUUCAAUAGCAGCAACCACAUGCUCAAAUUUUUUUGUUAAAGAUCUCAACACCUUUGGCACAACAAUUUCAUCACUAAUAUUCUCCCCAUAUGACUUCAUGAGAUUAACAAUGGAAGAAACUCUAGACAUAUAAUCUUGAACAGAUUCAUUACUUUUCAUAAGUAAAGUUUCAAAAUCACGACGCAAAGUUUGUAAUUUUACAGCAAUUACCUUCUUAUCUCCCAUAUACUCUUGUUGCAGAAUUUCCCAAGCUUCGUGAGAAGUCUCUGCUGCUGAAAUUUGCGGAAAGAUAUCAUCAUGAAGGGCUUGUUGAAUCAGGAACAGCAACUUCGAGUCUUUCUUGCGAUUCUCCCGUAGCCGUUGUGCGUGGCCUUCAUCCGGAUCUGCAAAUUCACUCUCCACCAAGUCCCACAACUCUUGAGACUUGAAGAGAGUCUUCAUCUUAAGACUCCAAAAAUGAUAAUUCAUCCCUUUGAAAAUUGGAAGAUGUUGGGAGUUACUGUUAGAGUUUGCUGCCAUUGUUUCUCUGGUUUGUUAUUUCUGGGGCAAAAUUUUUAUAUGUCGUUACUCUUAAAACUGGCUCUGAUACCAGAUUUGUUGGAUGAAAAAGGCAAAAAUAAAUGAAAGAGUUUGAGAGACAGAAGGUUUCUUUUACUGCAAAACUUUCUUGCUUAAAAACCAAAACUCCUAUUGCCCUUUUAUAGGCUUACAAUUAACUACUAAAGCUAAAAUAAAGCAACACACAAAUAAUGGAAAACAUGAAAAAGUGGUAAACAUGGUCCACUACAAUAAGAAUAUAAUUUCAUUGACUAAGUAAAACAUAAACCCACUAAUCCUAGAAAAUAGACCCACAGACUGAUUUCUGCAAACUAAUUAUUUUUGAAGGAUUAGUCAACAAAGGUUAUAUCCACCCAAGAACGCUUCGUUCAAAUUUCAAAAUACACCUUUUUCAACUCAAAAAUCCCGCCCAAAUGACAUCCUAGAGCUUGAACCUCUUCUAUAAAUAUUUCCUCUGUUUUUAGUCAUAGGGGGAUUUUUUUUUUGGGUGAGAAAAGUGGGCAGAUUUUUUGAGUUGAAAAUUUUCUAAACUAAGGCAUAUAGAAUAGCUUAAGCAAGUGGUUAUAAAAAUCCAUACAAAAUAUAUCCGAAAGAGGAGAAAAGAGUUAAUUUUCAGGGCUUCAUCUCUUCUAGUUUGUUCGUCGUUGCUCCCCUAAGUUUACUCGAGUUCGAGUUACCGCCUGGUUUUCUCGUUUGCUGUCCGUAAUUCGAUUUUGUGGUUGAAAGAUCGUUGCUCAGCUCAUUUGCCGUCCCCAUUUCGCUGCAUUAAAAAAGGUACCAGUUUUCUCGACUUUUCUCGUCCUUUCUAUUUCAAAAAAAGGGAUAUUUUUGGGAAGUUUGUAUUAUUACUGAUGGUCGCCGAGUUCUUAGUAUAUCUAAACACCUUAUUUAUGACGUUUUUUAGUUAUUCUAUUGUCUGCCAAUGAGUGUUGUUUUCAUUCCUGUUUGUUCUGCCAAUUAGCUAUUUUCCCCUCUUUUUUCUAUGUAACAAUAAACAGCUACAAAGAUAAUUUGAUGGAGAUUUUGUCCAACAUAAUUAUCAACAAUUAGUGUUUCAAUUUUGUUGGUAUAUACAUGGAGAGUGUUGAAUUGGGCAUGGUUUAGGCCAAAAAAAUUGGAGAAUAUCUUAAGGCAAAGAGGUCUAAAAGGAAAUCCAUAUAAGUUACUCUAUGGAGAUUUGAAUGAAUUCACAAAAAGUAUAGUUGAAGCAAAGUCUAAGCCUAUCAAUUUAUCUGAUGAUAUAGCUCAAAGACUCAUCCCUUUUUCCUCAACUCCAUCAACAAAAAUGGUAUAUGUUUCUUUUAUUGAUUCAGUUGGAAAGUAAACACUGCAACUUUGAGUAUGCACAUCUAAACACUUCAACUUGUCUCUAUUAUGUGAUGAUCAUUUAGACACGUGUAAUAUUUAUGUGUUACACUAGCGUUGGGUGUCUAUAAGACACAGUGGAGACGAAUUGAAGCGUUUAGUUGCUAGUUGAGACUAAGUUGAGGUGUCUAGAUUUGAACCUCAAAGUUGGAGUGCUUAUUUGUCAACUGAAAUCAAAUUUGAGUGUUUGUUUAUGUAUUAUGCCUUCUUCUUUUUUCUAAUCGGAAACAGAUUACUCGCAGGUAAAAGUUCUUUUGUGUGGCUAGGCCCAUAUCCAACAGUGUUGAUCACAGAUCCUGAACAUGUAAAAGAGAUUUUCACAAAGAAUUAUGUGUAUGUAAUGCAGCGUCAUGCCAAUCCAAUGACCAAGUUAUUGGCUGAUGGUCUAUCAAUCAUUGAUGGAGACAAAUGGGCCAAACACAGAAAAAUCAUCAAUCCCGUGUUCCAUGUUGAGAAGUUAAAGGUUCUACUUUAUUACUCCUUCCGUUAUAUUUUAUGUUGUGGUCUUAAGCUAAAGAUGUGUAUAAUAUAAUAUCAUUUGAAUCUUGUGGUCUAAACAUUCCAUGUAGGAUAUAUUAUAUAGAAAGAAACGUUCUUUGUUAAAGAAACUUAGAAGGGAAUUAUAACAAGCACUUGCUUGUUUUUACAUUUACAGCAUAUGCUGCCAGCAUUUUAUGUGAGUUGUAGUGAAAUGCUAAGCAAAUGGGAGGAAAUUGUUCCAAAGGGAACAUCAUUAGAACUCGAUGUAUGGCCAGACCUUCAAAUAAUGUCCAGUGAAGUCAUAUGUCGUACAUCAUUUGGGAGUAGCUAUGAAGAAGGAAGAACAGUAUUUGAACUUCAGAACGAACAAGCUGAGUAUGUAAUCAGAAUAGCAUGUUCAAUUCAUAUACCAGGAUCAAGGUACAACAAUUUAUGUACAUCACAUUUCCACGUUCGACACUUUCUUUUGUGCUUGCAAAAUCUCUCUGUAAUUAAAUAUGAAAAAUCUGAUCCUUAACAAUUUUUCUACUGAAAGACUUUUCUUGUAAUUUGAAUAACUUUGUUUAUAUAGGUUCUUGCCUACUAAAAUGAACAGAAGAAUGCUGAAAAUUGAAAAGGAAAUACAAACGACAAUUAGGCGUAUCAUUGACAAAAGAUUGAGAGCAAUCGAAGGAGGGGAGACUAGUAAAGAUGACUUAUUGGGCAUAUUACUUGAAUCCAAUAUGAAAGAAAUUGAACUUCAUGGUAGAAAAGAUUUUGGAAUGACUAUAUCAGACGUGGUAGACGAGUGCAAACUAUUCUAUUUUGCUGGACAAGAGACCACUUCAGUGUUACUCGUAUGGACAAUGAUUUUGCUCUGCUUACAUCCAGAGUGGCAAGUACGUGCCAGAGAGGAGGUGUUGCACGUCUUUGGAAAUAAUAAACCAGAUUUAGAAGGACUAAAUCGCUUGAAAAUUGUAAGUACUUUUCGCAAGUUCUUUUCUUCCAAUCUUUUAAUGAGUACGUUUUAUGUCCUCAAUAUAGUUAUUCGAUAGGACUGUCGAGACAAGAAGUGGACUUGGAGCCUGAUUGGCUUAACUAAUUGAGAUUAGUUAAUAUACAUUAAGUGUUGGAAACCAUUUUUAUGUGUUGAAUUUGACUUAUAGUGUUUUAUUUUAGGUAACGAUGAUCUUGUACGAGACGUUAAGGCUAUUCCCUCCAUUGCCAUCAUCUGGUAGAAGGACUGAAGAGAAAGUGAAAUUGGGGGAGCUAAAUCUACCAGCUGGAGUGCAACUCAUUAUACCCGCAAUCCUAGUACAUUAUGAUAAGGAGAUAUGGGGUGAAGACGCAAAGGAAUUCAAACCAGAAAGAUUCAGUGAAGGAGUGUCAAAGGCAACAAAAGGACAAGUCUCGUUUAUCCCAUUUAGUUGGGGACCGCGUGUUUGCAUCGGACAAAACUUUGCAAUGAUGGAAGCAAAAAUGGCGAUAGCAAUGAUACUACAAAAGUUCUCCUUUGAACUCUCACCAUCAUAUACACAUGCUCCAUUUGCAAUAGUGACUAUUCAUCCUCAGUAUGGCGCUCCUCUGCUUAUGCGCAAACUUUAAGAUGAUAUUUUACGACAUUGGUGUUGUACGUUGAUCUACAUGCAUCAUUUAAAUGAUCAAUAUACUAAAUUGUUGCGAGAUCGCAGAAGUCAUGUUUUGAAUUUAAACAUUAACUGCAGUAGUUUGGUUGAUGUUAUCAAAGUUUUUUAGCUUCUGAUAUGGUUUGUGCUCCAUUUCAAAUCUCCUAUUUUUCCUUGUAUGUUUAACAUUUUGGUGGAGGACAAUAGUUCCUUUAAUUGCAUUUUUUUUUCAAAUGGGUUGAUUUUUAUUUGUUUUUUUUUCCUUCGCAGUCGAGUUUAUGUUUAGUGGGACAUAAGUUCUUUUAGGGUGCAGAGCAUAACUUGUGAGAUAUGUAGUCAUGAUUUCAAAUCAACAUUUGAAGAUGCAAUUUGGGAUCAUGAUUUGAAAUCAAAUCCCAAAUUCUUCAAAAAGCAUGAUUUUGGGAUUCCAAAUAGUGCUUUCAAUUUAUUUAUUUUUUAAAAAAUGUAAAACUUGACCCAUGAAUUUAUAUUUUGUAAAAGAAAAAAGACCAACCAUUUUAAAUUAUUCAAAAAAAAAUUCAUUCUCAGCAUGGAGAGAUUGUCCGUGCCAUGUGAAGGGAUAAUAUUAAAAAAUAACUAGGCACUACUAUUAUUGACUAGUGAAUCUUUAUAAAAUUAUGUGUAUUUGCAAUUUAUAAUCACAAACAUUUAUUUAUUAAAAGAAUAUGGAGAUAUGUGAUUUAUUAAUAUUACGCCUUAGGAUAUUUCGAUAUCUUAUUUAUGAACUUUGGUUUGCUCGUUUGGUAAGAUUGUAUAAGAAUUGAUGAAAGUCCGAUAGUUUUCACAACUUAUUGAAUUUUCGUGUUUACGAGGGAAAAAAAACAAGGUAAGAAAUUCAAAAUCAUGGAAAAGUCUUGCCCCUCGUACACGCACUAGUCUAUAUUUUGUCAAUCAAUCAUCCUAUAAAAGUCCACAAAUUUGACCAAUUGGAACAAACACCUUUAUUAGUUGUGGAAAAUUCAUCAAAUACAUACCCCAUCUUGUCGUUGAUAUAAUAGAAAGGCAUAAUACAUAUAAAUUAUCUUUAACUUGGUCUCAAUAGAUAGUGAAUCACUUUAAUUUUGAAAAUGCAUAUCUAGACAUCACAAGUCGUUCACAACUUCCUUUAGCCCUUAAAGGGCUAAGGAGAGGGUGCCCUCGCAUCAUCGUUGCUCGCUCGGCCUCGGCAUCGACAUGCCUAUUCUGAACAUGUGAGUUCACACCGCACCAUCCUAUCAAUUUUUUUCCUUCUUCUGCAUACACGUAUUUUCUUACAAACCAAGUACUUCGUUGGAAUUUUCUCCUUAAAGUAGAGUCAUUGUGUGAUUUCGUUGCUGUCUUUUGAGUUCGCUGAAAUUAUUAAAGUGUGAGGUACCACUACUUCUUUAAUAGGUAUGAUUUUGUUGCUAAAGUGUGAGGUAUCUCUACUUCUUUAAUAUGUAUGAUGAUUUCGUUGCUGACUUUUGAGUUUGCUGAAGUUAUUGAAGUGUGAGGUACCACUACUUUUUUAAUAGGUAUAUCCAUUUUAUCCUGGGAGGCAAUAAUCCACAACCUCGGGUACAUUGAGUGGAUUAAAUUUCUUAAGAACACAUAGUGAAUUAUGUGCUGGCUCGAAUAAUGUAAUUUUGGGAGGAGUUCCAUACUUUUGUCCCUAGAAAGUGUGAUGCUAGGUUGGGGUCUGGUGAACCAACUGGUCGCUCAAUAGAAAAUUCAAAAGAAAAAAGUGUCUAUAAAAAACCAAAGGCAUAAAUGUUUGUAUAUGAGUAUAGGACGAAGCUCCUCCACAAAUUUGACCAAUUGGGACAAACCUCUUUGUUGUCAAUUAUGACGGUCAAAAAUAUAAUUAUGGAGAUUUGAAAGAGCUCACAAAUAAACUCAAUGAAGCCAAAUCUAAGCCUAUCAAUUUCUCUGAUGAUGUACCUCAGUCCUCAAAGGCUCAUCCCUUUUUUCUGUGACUCCAUCAACAAAAUGGUAACUACAACAAUCUAGUUUUUAAUUUUUUUUUUCAUUACUUAUUUUUCUUCCUUGCCUAAUCUGAUAUCAUGUCUGCAUAAUCAUAUUCUUUUCAUGGACCAAUCACAUAUUUUUUUUUAUAUAAGACAUGAAUCCAUCAGGAUCUUUUCCUGAUCUGAUAUCAUGUUUAAAUGUGUGAUCAUGCAAAACAAGAAUAAGCAUUCUAAUCCAUUCGCGAAGUUAUUGGUUCGAGGUCUCGUUACCCUUGAGGAACAGAAAUGGGCUAAAUAUAGAAAAAUCAUCAAUCCCGCCUUCCAUUUUGAGAAACUAAAGGUUAUAUAUACUAUUAUAAUUUUUGUUUUUGUGUAUAGCUCGUAAAUAGACUGACCUUAGUGAUCAUGAGUGAAAUUAACCCGUCUACAUAACAGCAUAUGGUUCCAGCAUUUUAUCAGAGUUGUAGUGAAAUGCUAAGCAAAUGGGAGGAGGCUGUUCCAAAGGAAACAUCAGUCGAGCUCGAUGUAUGGCCACACUUUCAACUAAUGACCGGUGAAGUCAUUUCUCGAACUGCAUUUGGGAGUAGCUAUGAAGAAGGGAGAAUAGUAUUUGAACUUCAGAAAGAACAAGCUGAGUAUGUAAUGGAACAAGUUUUUUCGAUUUAUAUACCAGGAUCGAGGUACGUACAAUUUUAAAGUAUUUGAUCAAAUUUCUACUUCAUAGCAUAGAGAAUUUACUUGGAUUUUUGUUAUAAGGUUCUUGCCUAGUAAGAAGAAGAAAAGAAUGCUGGAAAUCGAAAAGGAAAUUCAAACGACAAUUAGGCGUAUCAUUGACAAAAGAUUGAUGGCGAUGCAAGCAGGGGAGACUAAUAAUGAAGAUUUAUUAGGCAUAUUACUUGAAUCCAAUACGAAAGAAAUUGAACAACACGGAAGCAAAGAUUUCGGAUUGACAACAAUAGAAGUGAUUGAAGAGUGCAAGUUAUUCUAUUUUGCUGGACAAGAUACCACUUCAGUGUUGCUCGUAUGGACAACGAUAUUACUAUGCCUACAUCCAGAGUGGCAAGUACGUGCAAGAGAGGAGGUUUUGAAUGUAUUCGGAAAUGAAAAACCAGAUUUUGAAGGACUAAGUCGUCUCAAAAUUGUAAGUAGUUUUCAGAAUUUCUCAUAAGUGAAAUAAUUCUACUGUCAACUUAUGCAAUACAUGUUUGUUUUCCUUAGGUGACAAUGAUCUUGUACGAGACGUUAAGGUUGUUCCCCCCAGCACCGAUAUAUGGUAGAAGGAACAAAGAUGAAGUCAAAUUGGGUGAGCUGAGUCUGCCAGCUGAAGUACUACUCGUUAUACCCGCAAUCUUAGUACAUUAUAACAAGGAAUUAUGGGGUGAAGACGCGAAGGAAUUCAAACCUGAAAGAUUCAGUGAAGGAGUGUCAAAGGCAACAAAUGGACAAGUCUCGUUUAUUCCAUUUGGUUGGGGACCCCGAAUUUGCAUUGGACAAAACUUUGCAAUGAUGGAAGCAAAGAUGGCAAUAACAAUGAUACUACAAAAGUUCUCCUUUGAACUCUCACCAUCAUAUACACAUGCUCCAGUUGCAGUAGUGUCUAUUCAUCCUCAGUAUGGUGCUCCUCUGCUUAUGCGCAAACUUUAAAAAUGUUGUAGUUUAGUUAACCAUAUUGAAAAUGUUAAACUUUUUCUUCAGUGUGUGUUUUAGAUCUUCAACAUUUUAUGGUGUUUAGCUUUCAUCUAGUCUUGUGAAGAGUGAUUUCUAUAUAUGUAACUCAAUAGGUUGAACAACCUUGAACCAAUUUACAAGUCUCCAUACCUGUAACAGAGAUGCACUUGAAAGCACGCAUGCAAUUAAUAUUGUUCAUUGGACAAACAAUAGUAUCAG